rnacentral:rRNA from 1 species
AACGAACGCUGGCGGCAUGCCUAACACAUGCAAGUCGAACGAGAUCUUCGGGUCUAGGGGCGCACGGGUGCGUAACGCGUGGGAAUCUGCCCUUUGGUUCGGAAUAACAGUUGGAAACGACUGCUAAUACUGGAUGAUGACGAAAGUCCAAAGAUUUAUCGCCAGAGGAUGAGCCCGCGUAGGAUUAGCUAGUUGGUGUGGUAAAGGCGCACCAAGGCGACGAUCCUUAGCUGGUCUGAGAGGAUGAUCAGCCACACUGGGACUGAGACACGGCCCAGACUCCUACGGGAGGCAGCAGUGGGGAAUAUUGGACAAUGGGCGAAAGCCUGAUCCAGCAAUGCCGCGUGAGUGAUGAAGGCCUUAGGGUUGUAAAGCUCUUUUACCCGGGAUGAUAAUGACAGUACCGGGAGAAUAAGCUCCGGCUAACUCCGUGCCAGCCGCCGCAGUAA